CUCAAGCCUGCUCUUGGCUAAGAUAGUCAUACCUAUGUACUUACAUAAAUGCUUUCUCAGCUCUGCUACUACUCUCUUAUACCAAUAUCAGUUCUAUACUUAGAAACCCGAGAAGCUGAGAUGAAAAAAUCUGCACAAGCUUUGAUAUUCUAUUCUAGUUAUGAACUGUACGAGUAGACAGCAAGACAGCAUCUUUCAUUUCCUAGCUUUGUUUGACUAGCAUGAAAAAAUAGAACAUCUACACGCCAAAAAAGCAGUUACUUGUAUAAAAUAAGAUGUUCGGGUGACUAAUAGAGCUUGAAGUUCAUACUAGUUACGAAGAGAAUUAUAACUUGUUGAUCUGCUGCAGGGUUCUCCCACACAUACAAAUACACACAUAUGUAAAUACAAUUUGGAGGCACUUUAGUAGGAGACAAAUGCAUAUUUACAAGUUAGACGAACUAGACUUAGACUUAGCUUUUAUAUAAAUUUAAUUUAGAUAUUUUGUAAAAGAGAAAAUCGUUCAAUUAUGCAGUUCUCUCACAAAAUUGCUGAAAAAUUUGUACUCAUUCAUAGAAUUAUUAAAUUCACAUUUUAUUAUUAUAAUAAACUCGCCUUGAACCAAAACCUUUCAAAGAUAUGAACUUGUUGAGAAGUAAUUGAUCGUGCUUACAAAAACAUAUUCAUAAUUUUUUUCAGUAGUUCGAAAGUUUUCGAAGAAAAAAUACAAAUAUUAAUUGUUUAACACGAUAUCAAAGUCAUGUGUACUAUAUACAUAAAUACCAUUAUUAUGAUGGAUUUCAUCUAUGUUCCAAAAUAACAAAAAAUAUUAAGUAUAUAGUAAAUGUAUGGAUGAAUUGCAUUAUGGUUUUUAUUAAUUUUCAAUGAUAACCAAUUUUAUCACUUUUGGGGAGUGUACUUGCAGCUUUUAUGUACAUACAUACAUGCAUACGUACAUAUGUAUCUUCAUAACAAUACGGCAAACGUCAUACAAUAAUUGCAAAUGAAUCAGCUCAGAAGGUACUUAACACCGUUGCUUUCUGGUUUUGAAUAUUUACAGUUAAACAGUAUAUAAACUAACACACAUUUGCUCUGUACGCGAAUUGAAAAAAUCCCCAAGGUGUAAACUCGUUUUGUUUCCUGCUUAACAGCGAAAAGAUUAAUUGAAAAGGAAUAACCUGAUGAGUGUGAAAAAAAGAACAUUUAGUUACACUAGAGACAAAGCUAUUUCAAUCACGAUCGAAUCUAAAUAAAAUUAUUUCCUACCCUUCUUCAUUGGUAUGUAGUGUGAGGGCUCAAAAAGGUCCGAUUCAAACUUUCAAAUAUAAGCAGAUUACUUUAGUAUUGUACUAAAGCUUUCAAAAAUUCAAGAUACUUUCAUCAUAAAGUUGGCGGAAUCGCAUCUAGCACAUAACAUAUUAAUCUUUUUAUAUAAUAAGAUAGCGAUUCAACAAAAAAUUCUGAUUGUGUUAAUUUCCCUGAACAAGUGCUUUGCAAGCAAUUACGGGAUUCCCCGCUUAAAAUAUGAAAACCACCUGUAAAACCUCCAAGUUACGCCACAAACGAUAGGCCAACUAAUCUAAUCUACGAAUGACUUUUGUGAUUGAUACCCAACGUCCGAAAAAGUCCGUAUGUUUAUAAGUGUUAUCCGGCCAUAAGGGCAACUAUGGCGUUGACAACAUAGUCUAUUUCCACAACAGUCGAGUCUACGGAAAUGGAUUUUUAGCCGGCCAAGGACUCUUAAUUCGCAGCAUUUAUUUAAACUAUUUAGCGGAUGUUUUCUGUGCUUACUACAACAACUAUGAUCUAGAGAAUACACGAAAUGAUUUUUGAAGAAAUAAAAAGGAAAAAAUGAAAAAUAUUUGAUCGAACGAAAUGACACGAUAUUAAGCGUUAUAAAUCAAUGAUAUAUGACAUAUGAAAUGCAUUGUUUUUGUUCAUUUAUUUCAGCUUCACAAGUUGGAUUUGUUUGUAAAUAACCGUUAAACUACACAAAAUAGCUUAAAAUAUAAAUACAUACAAUAAUUGAGUUGGUAUUUUUCAACUAUGAUCAAUAUCACAUAUCAAUUCAUUGUUUUCACUUAAACAAUAUAUGAUUUUUGGUCAGUAUCAGUAGAUUUUCGUAAAAAUAGGUUUGUGCGUAUACUUCGCAUUUGUCUAAAACUCGUAGCUCUAUUGAAUUCAUUUAAAAUAAUAAAAUAUAAGAUUCUGUUCGAUUCUUAUAUUUACACAAGAGUUUGUCUUUAAACGAGAUUUGUACUCUUAAAAUGGGUUAAACCGUUAAAAAGCAAUAGCCGCCGUCACUAUAUAAAGAUCUAAUGAGGUAUAAUUUAAGUAAAUUAAUCAUAAAACCGUUUUACGUACAAUCACAAGCAGUACUUCAGAACUUAGCAAAUUUUCAUUAAGAUAACAGAAAGGUUUCAGGAACAAACUAUUAUGUAUGCAUGUCUUUCGAGUUUUGUAAAAUUAUCGUCUUUUUAAGAUUGAACUCAUUUAAACACGUUUGUCGUUAUUCUUCUUGCUAUUACUAUUCUGCUUUGGCUUCGAUUUUCCAUUUGACGUUGUCGCUUGUUCUUGUUGUUGGGACUGAUUUUCAUCCAAUUCUUGCACC